GAUGAACGCUGGCGGCGUGCCUAAUACAUGCAAGUCGAGCGAACGGACGAGAAGCUUGCUUCUCUGAUGUUAGCGGCGGACGGGGUGAGUAACACGUGGAUAACCUACCUAUAAGACUGGGAUAACUUCGGGAAACCGGAGCUAAUACCGGAUGAUAUUUUGAACCGCAUGGUUCAAAAGUGAAAGACGGUCUUGCUGUCACUUAUAGAUGGAUCCGCGCUGCAUUAGCUAGUUGGUAAGGUAACGGCUUACCAAGGCAACGAUGCAUAGCCGACCUGAGAGGGUGAUCGGCCACACUGGAACUGAGACACGGUCCAGACUCCUACGGGAGGCAGCAGUAGGGAAUCUUCCGCAAUGGGCGAAAGCCUGACGGAGCAACGCCGCGUGAGUGAUGAAGGUCUUCGGAUCGUAAAACUCUGUUAUUAGGGAAGAACAUAUGUGUAAGUAACUGUGCACAUCUUGACGGUACCUAAUCAGAAAGCCACGGCUAACUACGUG
rnacentral:rRNA from 1 species